AGUACACGGCAUAAGUACAAGUGCAUGAUUUGUGAGAUGUGCUUCAAGAAAAUCUACAACUUAAAGAGGCACCUAAAGGAGGUUCACGGGGACGCUGACACCAGCUGGAUCACACUGUCCGCUGCCGCCUUGCAUGCGAUCUGUGUCCAACGGCUUUUGCAUUCCAUUGGGGACUUGCUGCGCCACUUUGAAGCGAAACACGGGAUCGUCGCGAGGCGUGACAAGUUAAAGUUCAAUUUGUUGAAAGAAUUCAGCGACUGGAGGGAGGCUAAGGAUGGCAGAGAGCAUGUUCGCUUCAUUCUCCACGACGGACCCAAGGGACGAGAUGAGGGUGUCCUGAAAAGUACUUGACUCUGUUCCAGAUGAGACUUCUCCAAAACCUAGGGUAAUCCCUCACAAAAAAAAGAUGGAAAAACAACCACGGUACUUUCCCCCCCAAAAGACGCCCUGGUUCUGGUCCCAUGCAUGGCAAACCUCCCACCAGCUUGGAGCAGCAGCACAUCAUGCAGGGCCUUGUAGCCAGGUGAGUUCCUACAGAAGGAGCAGCAUCCGCUCAGCUCCAUGUGGAUGUUCCGAGCAUGUCUGUGCUGGCCCUCAAGGAGCAUGACUACUUUGCAAAUCAGUAGUCGUGACAAUUGGACUACAAAAAAGGGGCAGUAUUCUUCUUGCAAAAAGGAAUGGCGUGUUGGACAGCUUGGAUUUCUUUCCACUUUGGAGAAUGUCACGAGAGGCUCGAGCUAAAGGCAAGAGGGGCAUCUCUUACCAUCUUCCAACAGGUUACGUUAGGCGAGGCAUUAUAUGCUGACCUUAAUCGUAACGCUUUUUUAACAACCAGGGAUUGGCAAUUUUAUUUCAGUUGAUCCGGAACGGUUGUCUCUAAAUUAACGGGCAACCAUAGUGCCUCGAAAUGCUCGUUUAUAAGCGUGCCCCUCGCUGAAACCGGCACUUUUUUUUAGAUAGUAUUACUGCACGAGAAUGUGCAGCUUUUUCCGCUUUGGAGAAUGUCAAGAGGUGCUCGAGCUCGCCAUUCUCCAACAGGUGGCUUAUGUUAUCAGCUGGUCUUAAUUGGAAAAGUUUUAAUGGCCAGAGCUUGCCAAUUUAAUUUCAAAUUUAUGCAGACAGGUUACCUCUAAGUUAAUGAGUAACCAUAAUACCUCAAGUUGCCUGUUACAUGCUUAUUUUUUAUUUUGCAUACUGCUGCACGGGAAUGUGAAAGUUGCAGUUCCCGCGACAUACCAAAUUAUUUUAGUAUGUGACUUAUAUGCUUUAGGAUAUAAUCGUUUUCUUGCUAAUAAGUGCCUAUAAUCACUGUUUCAUUGUUUUGUGAGCCAAGAGGGAGUGACCACUGGCGACCACAAGCAUGAGGAUCUGCUACAGGAAGCAUAAUCAUGUACCUGGACCUCGAGACCGGUGGCCUUGGAGAUGUCAGCAAGGCUACGGGGCGAUUUGCUCACCGCGAGGCUGUGCAAUUUAGUGGCAUGGAACUAGUGCCUCAUUUCGGAGAUCUCCAUGGCGAGUGAACAGUGUAAGGCUGGUGGGGCAAGAAGUUUAUUGGAAGGUUUUGUCAUGCCAUGGUGAUCAACAUUCAUGACAGGUUCAUCUGCCGAACUAGCUAUGCAAUAGAGGCAAGCCUGCUAAGUCACUGGGAUUAGUCGUCAGUGUGUGGCGCAGAGGACUUCUAGGGACAAGUCCAGGAGACGAACAUGCAAUAUUUAUAUUCUGUCUAUAUUUUGGUGAACCAAUGUUACUGUUGACAUUUAAGUGUGGGACAUUUCGCUUCUGCGGCAAAAGAUAUGUCAGGUGUGUAAUGGGGUCCCACAAAAAAUACCUAUGCUUUGUCUUGAGCUAUGUUCAUAGAGACAUGGCAAGGGGGGGCCAGAAGACUGAUGAAAGUUGUGCCGGUGAUGGUCACAGUUUGGGAGAUGUUGCGGAUGGCUAUGUGAUGGGGUGCUGUGACCUUUGAUGGACAACUGUUUCACUGAGUCAAACUGUGGCAGUGUUUCUGCUAUCUUGAGAGGCAGCAUGGUAACGCAUCAACACAGUGACAGAUUUUACUUUAAACUCAAAAUGGGGCACAGGAAUAAAACAACUUGCUUGCCUCAUCGAGGCACGUCUUCAAA
rnacentral:misc_RNA from 1 species